AGAUUUUUCAAUGUGUAUUUUUAUUUGAACCUGAAAAUUUACUUGUGUGUCUUCUUCCUUAGCAUGAGAAACAACUGCAACAUGCCUUACAUGCCUACAUAAUAGACUAUUUUCAAAAGUCACAGGAAACAGGAGUAGUUCUGUACAGUCAUUUGAAACUAAGCUUGGAAGACAUGCAGAAAGAGGUACAAAGAACUUUGUCAUUGCUUCAAAAUUUGUGGCCAGAAGGAGCU
rnacentral:lncRNA from 1 species